GCCCGCCUAGCUCAAUCGGAUAGAGCGUCAGACUUUUAAAAAUUCCUCUUUCGAUUCCCCGAAAAUCUGAAGGCUGCGAGUUCGACCCUCGCGGUGGGCU